rnacentral:rRNA from 1 species
UAAUACGAAGGGGGCAAGCGUUGUUCGGAAUUACUGGGCGUAAAGGGCGCGUAGGCGGUGCGUUAAGUUGGGCGUGAAAGCCCUGGGCUCAACCCGGGAACUGCGCUUGAUACUGGCGCGCUAGAAUCCAGGAGAGGUUGGUGGAAUUCCCAGUGUAGAGGUGAAAUUCGUAGAGAUUGGGAAGAACACCGGUGGCGAAGGCGGCCAACUGGACUGGUAUUGACGCUGAGGCGCGAAAGCGUGGGGAGCAAACAGGAUUAGAUACCCUGGUAGUCCACGCCGUAAACGAUGUGUGCUAGCCGUUGGGGCUCUUAGAGCUUCGGUGGCGUCGCUAACGCUUUAAGCACACCGCCUGGGGAGUACGGCCGCAAGGUU